rnacentral:rRNA from 1 species
AGUGAACGCUGGCGGUAGGCCUAACACAUGCAAGUCGAACGGCAGCACAGUAAGAGCUUGCUCUUACGGGUGGCGGGUGGCGGACGGGUGAGGAAUACAUCGGAAUCUACUUUUUCGUGGGGGAUAACGUAGGGAAACUUACGCUAAUACCGCAUACGACCUACGGGUGAAAGCAGGGGGUCUUCGGACCUUGCGCGAUUGAAUGAGCCGAUGUCGGAUUAGCUAGUUGGCGGGGUAAAGGCCCACCAAGGCGACGAUCCGUAGCUGGUCUGAGAGGAUGAUCAGCCACACUGGAACUGAGACACGGUCCAGACUCCUACGGGAGGCAGCAGUGGGGAAUAUUGGACAAUGGGCGCAAGCCUGAUCCAGCCAUACCGCGUGGGUGAAGAAGGCCUUCGGGUUGUAAAGCCCUUUUGUUGGGAAAGAAAAGCAGCAGGUUAAUACCCCGCUGUUCUGGCGGUACCCAAAGAAUAAGCACCGGCUAACUUCGUG